rnacentral:lncRNA from 1 species
GUGGAGACCUCAUUCAUGAACAGGCUGGCAACUCGAGCCCUCCUGGUCUCUGGUGAUGUGAAGUGUGUAUCACACUUAGACACACACUGCUCAUAAAUGGCCUUGUCAAGGGUGCUGUGAUGGCACGAUGGCUCAGUAGUGAGCAUCUGUCCCCUGGAGCCAGGGGUCUCCCUGGAGGACAGGGGCUCACUCCUAAAGCUGAUCAUGCUCUGUCUCUUCUCCCUGUGAGUAAAUCCCUGCUCCUUCAGUGCACACGAGUCCUGUCAUUCUCGGCAACACCAGCACCUGCAGCGUGUCCCAUCCCAGGACUGCUGCUCCUAGUGACAGGCAUUACCAUUCUCUCUCUCUCUCUCUCUCUCUCUCUCUUUCCGGUACUGGGGAUUGAACCCAGAGGUAAUUAGUCACUGACACAUCCCCAGACCUUAUUUAUUUAGAGACAGGGUUUCACUAAGUUGCUGAGGCUGACUUUGAACUUGCCAUCCUCCUGCCUUGGCCUCCCCAGCUUAUGGGAUUACAGGCGUGUGUCACCAUACUCUGCCAUUACUAUGCUCUUUGCUUUCCUCCAUACAUCGGGACUCCUCCUGGAGGUGGGCAACAGGCACCAUGCCCUUGACAGAAAGUUUAGACUUUGUGGGUCAUGUAGCCUCUGACUCCACCACUUGACUCCACCACUUGAGGGUGGCAGCAGCGUCCGACGACACGCGAACAUACAGCAGGGCUGUGUUCCAGCACAACUUUACGGGAGUUUUUACAGAAGCAGGCCGAGAGCAGGCUGCACACUGGGACAUGGUGAGCCUUCAGACACAUCCCAGAAUUGGCUAAUAACCAUCAGCUGGGCUGGGGGCGUAGCUCAAUGGCAGAGCACUUGCCUAGCAUGUGUGAGGCCCUAGGGUCGGUCCCCAGCACCACAAAACAUUUACCAAAAAAAAAGUAGCAGUCGAAUCUCACCGCACAUCUGCCACCUUAUGGAACUGAAAGUCCUUUGUAUUGCUCAGCAUUCCUUCCUUGACGUGGCUAAGAGUGACACCUUUAUUUUUUUAAGAGCCCACUGUUUAUGCCAACUCUACACCAGAAAAGAGGGAGGGACAGACUUCAUAGCCUAGGUCCCCUCACUGGCCAUCACCGAGAGCCAUAAAUCAGGAGGCAGAGGCAGCUGCAGAACUGUGGAGAAGACUUCCUUUAUUGGGACCUCAGUUUCCCCCUUGUGUCAAACAAGGCUGUGGGUUUUCUACACCUAGCAUCCUUCAAAGGCAAGGCUGGGCGAUGAAAAGAAAGCUCUCUGGAGACAAGAGGGCCUUGGAGCUGAAUCCCAGUUCCAUCACACCUUGGGCAAGUCAUGACGUCUCUGUCUCUUAUCUGUAAAAUGGGCUUGUUGUGAUGUCAGUAAGUUGUUGGGAGAUCAGGGUGCCAGCAAGAUGGGGUUCUGGUGAGGGCUCACUGUCUUGGAGACAGACACCGUGCCGUGCCCUUACAUGGAUGGAAGCGAGGAGGUAAACUCCCUUGUGUCUCUUUCUCUAAAGGCUCCAAUCCCCAUCGUGAGGGCUACAUUUUCAUGAGCUAAUUACCUCCCAGAUAUGAUCACAUUGGGAAUUAGCCUUUUAACAUGACUUGUGUGUGGGGGGAGGUGCAAAUACUUAGUCCUUAGUGUUAUUGGGUCUUAUUGAGAGAAGGGUAUUGAAAUCUCCACUACAAUUGUGUAUAUGUCUAUUUUUACAGUUGUGUAUAUGUCUAUUUUAUUUAUAGUUCUACCAGAUUUUGCAUUUUGUAUUUUAAAGCUGUUAUUAAAUGUUUAAAUUAUGUACUCUUUAUUAAUUGACCCCUUUAUCAUUAUGAAAUAAUCUUCUUUAUCACUGAUAAUACUCUUUUCUCUGAAAUCUCAUUUGUCCUAUACUAUUAUCCAGCUUUCUUUUGUCCAGUGUGAGCACUAUGUAUUUAUUUUUUUUAUUUUACUUUUAACCUAUUUGUGUAUUUAUAUUAAAAGUUUGUUUCCUGUAGGCAACAUAUAGUUGAGUCUUGCUUUAUUUUUCUUAAUCCAACCUGUCUCUGCCUUUUAGUUGAGAUGUUUAAACUAUUUAUAUUUAGUGUGAUUACUGAUAUUAUCAGGUUUUAAUUUACCAUCUUGUUAUCCAUUAUUUUUCUCCUCUGCUCUUUACUUAAUUUUCCCCUUUAUC